rnacentral:rRNA from 1 species
CCUACGGGGGGCUGCAGUCGAGAAUCAUUCACAAUGGGGGAAACCCUGAUGGUGCGACGCCGCGUGGGGGAAUGAAGGUCUUCGGAUUGUAAACCCCUGUCAUGUGGGAGCAAAUUAAAAAGAUAGUACCACAAGAGGAAGAGACGGCUAACUCUGUGCCAGCAGCCGCGGUAAUACAGAGGUCUCAAGCGUUGUUCGGAAUCACUGGGCGUAAGGCGUGCGUAGGCUGUUUCGUAAGUCGUGUGUGAAAGGCGCGGGCUCAACCCGCGGACGGCACAUGAUACUGCGAGACUAGAGUAAUGGAGGGGGAACCGGAAUCCUCGGUGUAGCAGUGAAAUGCGUAGAUAUCGAGAGGAACACUCGUGGCGAAGGCGGGUUCCUGGACAUUAACUGACGCUGAGGCACGAAGGCCAGGGGAGCGAAAGGGAUUAGAUACCCGUGUAGUC